rnacentral:rRNA from 1 species
UACGUAGGGGGCAAGCGUUGUCCGGAUUUAUUGGGCGUAAAGAGCGUGUAGGCGGCCAUACAGGUCCGUUGUGAAAACUGGAGGCUUAACCUCCAGACGUCGAUGGAAACCGUAUGGCUAGAGUCCGGAAGAGGAGAGUGGAAUUCCUGGUGUAGCGGUGAAAUGCGCAGAUAUCAGGAAGAACACCCGUGGCGAAAGCGAGAUCCUGGACGUUUUCUGACGCUGAGACGCGAAAGCUAGGGUAGCGAACGGG